rnacentral:ncRNA from 1 species
GCCCCGCCUUGCCGAAUUGUCGCCGGAUGGCGUGCGUGGCCAGCAAUCGCUGGUCUAGGCAGGCGGGUCGCA